rnacentral:rRNA from 1 species
AAGGUCUUCGGACCGAGUAGAGUGGCGGACGGGUGAGUAACGCGUGAGAAUCUGCCCUUUAGUGAGGAAUACCUCCGGGAAACUGGAGUUAAUACCGCAUAUGCCCUGUGGGGUAAAGACGGCCUCUUUGCUGUCGCUGAAGGAUGAGCUCGCGUAUUAUUAGUUAGUUGGUGGGGUAAAGGCCUACCAAGACAAAGAUAAUUAGCCGGCCUGAGAGGGUGAACGGCCACAUUGGGACUGAGACACGGCCCAAACUCCUACGGGAGGCAGCAGUUAGGAAUAUUGCACAAUGGGGGAAACCCUGAUGCAGCGACGCCGCGUGGAGGAAGAAGGCUUUCGAGUCGUAAACUCCUGUCAAGUGGGAAUAAAGAACUAGUGUUAAUAGCAUUGGGAGAUGAAGGUACCACUAAAGGAAGCUCCGGCUAACUUCGUGCCAGCAGCCGCGGUAAUACGAAGGGAGCGAGCGUUACUCGGAAUUACUGGGCGUAAAGGGCGCGUAGGCGGCCAUUUAAGUUGCUUGUUAAAGACCACUGCAUACCAGUGGGGAUGCGGGCAAAACUGAAAGGCUAGAGGAUAAGAGAGAGAAGUGGAAUUCUCGGAGUAGCGGUAAAAUGCGUAGAUCUCGAGAGGAACACCGGUGGCGAAGCGGCUUCUUGGCUUAUGCCUGACGCUGAGGUGCGAAAGCGUGGGGAGCAAACAGGAUUAGAUACCCUGCUAGUCCACGCCGUAACGAUGAUCACUAGAUGUGGAAUUGCGUAGCAGUUUCAGUGUCGAGCUAACGCG